rnacentral:rRNA from 1 species
UACGUAGGAGGCAAGCGUUGUCCGGAAUUACUGGGCGUAAAGGGCGCGUAGGCGGCUCAUGAAGGCUGUGGUGAAAGUCCGGGGCUCAACCUCGGAUCGGCCGUGGCGACUCGUGGGCUGGAGCACUGUAGAGGCGGGUGGAAUUCCGGGUGUAGCGGUGGAAUGCGUAGAGAUCCGGAAGAACACCAGUGGCGAAGGCGGCCCGCUGGGCAGUGGCUGACGCUGAGGCGCGACAGCGUGGGGAGCAAACAGG